GAGACUGUCCAGGCCUGACUGGUAAAUGUUGGUGCACAUUUUAAAAAUGUAUGAACUUCUAAAACUGUGCCUGUUGUUUUUAUUAGCACUUGAUCUCCUCUUUCUCACUGUGUCAAGCCAGAACUGCAAAGGGCUGGAAUCCUUUUAACGUUUUACUUCCUUGACAAACAUCCUGCUGUUCUGUUGCUGCCCUCCUGCAGUGUAGGAGCUCUUUUUUGAGGGGGAAAAAAUAUCUCUAAAGUCAAGAAACUAUUUGCACUUGUGUUUGGUGACAUCUGCUUUACUGCAAGCAUCACUGAAUGCAGAUCUACAGCCUUUUAACCCUAUUCUCUAGGGCAGCAAUUUUGUGCUCUAGUUCUUCCUGGCUCUUACUUGUCACCUUUUUCCAAGGGGUAUAAGAUGUAGCUUCUCUCUUAAAGAAAAGCUUUGGUUGCUUUAUGCUACGAGCAAAGAUCUGUGCAGAGAUCCCUGCAGGGUAACAAAAACCUUCCCCAGGGAAAACAUCCUUGAAUUAGUUUGAACUGAAAGCUCCCAAUUUCACUGUGCCUUUGGCUGGAAAAUGUAAAUGUUCAAAGGGCUGUGGCAUGAUUAAAGAUUUUCUUGUCUCGGCCUCUGGUGCAGGAGUGCAGACUCUCCUCCUCCCCUCCCUGCGUGCAUCGAUUGGGGCUUGUAGGAGUGAAUGAAAACAGACUUGGGUGUUAGGGAAAGAAACAGAGAUCUAGGGUAGAAAGCAGAGAAAGGCUUCUUGGGGCUUUUUCCAUUCUUUGCCCCUGCAGCUCUGUGCAGAUCAGUCGUCUGUGUCCCUUCCAGGCAGCGGCCCCAAGAAGAUGGUCCUGAUUUUUGCACCAAUUAUUGUCUGGUUUGGAACUGGGCUCUGACUCAAGGACAUCAAACCUCUUUUGGAGAACUCUUGGUGGACUCCCUGGUCUCUCGGGUCUUCUCUCAGGCACAAUUUUGCUACCCUGCACUGCAGCAUUUCCGAGCUCAGUAUGAAAACAGCGUAGACUUAGCAAGACUGCAUUUCUGAUGUAUUAUUGUGCUGCAAGUUCCUGGUCUUUGCAGCUGACUCAAAAGCCAGGGAAGAGGGAGCAAUAUCCUCUCCUCCUGCAGCUGACAAUCCUCAAACGUACACCACAACCAUUUUACCCGAGUUGAACGCCUCCAGGGGAGACAGUGAUGCUUUGUCACACGCAGAAAUGGAGACAUGACAAAUGAGCUGGAUCCCAAUCCCUCCUCCGACAGGACGAGGCUGUAUCUGUCUGACAACACACCUCCAGUGACUCUCUUAAUUAAGUCUCCCCGCACUGCUGUGAGAAGGUCUCAGAGAUGUGGCUUACAUGGCGGGUCUGCAGAGAGUUGAACCAGCAACACUGUGGGAGCUGUGAGUUGCAGCAGUGACGGAGGAAUGAGCCAAGGAUCCAGGUAAGAAAAGGGUAACCCUACGGGUACCUGCUACACCAUCAAGUUUGAACUUUCAGAUGUUCCAAAGGCCAGUGGAUCAUUACUUCUGAAGCAUAAGGACAGUACUUUAGUGCUUGAUACUGUCUCCUGAGCCUCUGUUUCUUCUAGGAUAGGUGUGUGCCUGGCGUGUUUACCUCCACAGAUCACUAAUGGGGAUCCCCUUUAGCUGACAGCUUCCUGCAGGUAACUCCCGAGAUAAUGCUGCGCACGUUAAGUACAAACGCACCCUACUGAAAAACAGCUUAUUUCACAGAAUUGGGUUAGUGUCAUUUCAAAUGGAGUAACAGAAGAUGAGUUUACUGAUUAUACAACUCGCUAAGUCCUGAAUUCACUAAGCAUUUGAAGUCUCAAAGAUAGGUGAUGAUAUCUUUAAAACUUAAUGGAUUUUUGCCUAAAUGGAAGGAUUUUGCCUCAUCACCUACUGUGGGGUUUCCUGGGCUGCCAGAGACCAGACAACCUCAGCCUCUUAAACCUUGGCAAAUCCAAUACAUAAUGCGUGGAAGUCUUCCUAACAUGAACAAGCAUUUCAGUUCGUUCUGAAAGGCCAAGAUUACUACUGAUUUGGUUUUGGGGGAAAAAAAAACCUAAAAAAAGGACAACCAAAAUGACGUUGGAUGUUCAUUAGUGAAGCAUUGUCAGAACACAAUAGAAGAACAGACAAAAGCCAGUCCAGAUUCUGUGGUAUUUCCUAAAGGGCUCCCUCUGGCACAUGGCUAUUCCCUGCCAAUCCUUUUGUAUUGUUUUUGAUAAUGAAUAGAAGCUGAACAGAUGAUUGUUGCAUUGUCCACUAAGUGAUUCAUUUACAUUAAAUACUGCUCCAAUAAGUAGGCUUCGGGUGGAUUUUUUUUAGUCACUUCAGUUAUUUAUUUGUACAGUUUAAUCACCAUCUUUUAACUCUACACUGUACAUAAUUAUUUCCUGAUUGUUUCAGCUAAAUUACAUGGGAUGUAGCUCCUGUGAAGUCAGCGGUCCAACAAGCCCUGACUUAAGAAGCAGCAUCUCUGCAUUUUCAAAGAUGCUUAAUUAUGAGUGGCCACCUCUAGAAAACUGUUUAGGGAAGGUGCUGAGGUUCUUAAGCAUCUGCAGGUCCCUAGUGUCCUUGGUCCUGAUCUCCGAAAGUCAGGUUAUGAAACAAAAAAGUUUGCUGCAUGAACCAUCACAAUUCCAUUGAUUUCCUCAUUAAUCUCUCAAUUCCCACUGCAUGUCUGCUCCAAGGCUUCCUUAUUGACCCAGGGCUUCCAUUACAGUUUCAGGCUUUUCUUACAGAGGUCAAAGUUGUGUUUUGUUGUGUUUUUGCAGGGUGUGACAGAUGUUUUCUGCUUGAGGGCAUAUUGACUGUACUGCUGUUACAAGAACUUCAAUGUAAAAAGCUGUUUAGCCCCAAUUCCACAUCCAGAACUGCAGGUCCACUAAUUUGGAUGUACUAAUGACCCAUACUGAAGGGCUUUUUGAUGGUUGAAGAAUCUAAGGAAUUGAACUGCUCUAGGCCUUUCCAUCUCCUGUUUUCUGAGAAGUCGCAUGACUUUGCAUUUGUUGAAUAGCUGUAGUUACAGCUCAAAAGCCCCGAUUUCCUAAUUAUUCUCUGUUCCCCAUUCGAUGUACCACAAAGAGAGGUCCAGUGUGGGCUUUUGCUUCUGCCUGUGUGAAAAAGUAGAAUCUGGGGCAAGGCAGCAAAAUAGUGAUACAGAGAGAGGAAGGGAACAGUCCUAAUGCUGUGGAGUUGUUCAUGUAAUAUGCCCUAGGAUUAAAUCUCCCAGGACAGAGCCAAGCAGCCUUUGCAGUCGUUUGGGACAUUUUCUCAGUCCCUUCUCCAGUUAGGAGAAAUGAAAUCACCAGUCCUGUGCCUAAAUAGAAAAGAAAGGACAGAGGUUUGUUUUGAAGAGUUUCUAUGCCUGUAACCUGCCAAGAUGAGGCAAGGAAGAGAUUGACUCUUUGCAACCAGUUUCCUAUCAACUCAUACACCAAACAAACAGGGAGGACAUGUACAUUCCAGUACUGCUGUAGCCUUCCAACUGCAAAAGACAUCGCAGUGCAGCUCUUGCCAUUCUCUGCUGCUCUAGCUACAGAGCCUGGGCAGAAGCUGCUGCAAAGCUACCUAAAGUCUAGGCUUCUCCAUGUGCUACAUUUCUGUUACCCUGCUUCAGAAGCUGCCAUUGCCUGGUCUGUGAUUAAAGCAAACUAUCCACCCCUUAGGAUCUCCCUGAGCUUUAGCCUUCUUUUGGCUUACGUGGGAUCUUCACAAACCCAGAUAAAACUCAGCAGACACACAAAUAAACCCAGCCCUCCCUCUGCACAAAACCACAAAGUGUUGCUAGGGUUUCCCCUACUGCCUUCCACUUUAACCCUCCAGCAUCACUCUCCCUGUAUUCUUGCUCUCCCAGGAGCCCACAUCGCUCUGUGCUUAGUGGCAGGCGAUGAAAUCAACCCGUGCAUUAGCAGCUCCAUAAUAGCUUUGCUCAGUGGAACCCAGCUUCCUUCAUUAAUCCAGAAAAUGAGAGUUGUUUUCGUACAUUUGAGAAGCUAAUUAUUUAAGUGCUGGGAAUUAAGGCUCAUCAGAUACUGGAGACUGAUUUUGGUUUUGCUUCCCAGGGGAUGGAGUGAGAUGGAAGGAAGCUGGUUUUGCCCAGGUGUGCAGUACUGUAACUCACCAGCCCUCGGAGCAGGGAACAACAGUGUGCAGAUCCUUGUCUACUGUAAGCAUAAAAGCCUUUCUCUUAGUACAUCCCUUUUCUUCCCAUUCAAAUAGAUUUUUUUAAGUCACCAUUGAUCAAAUAACACUAUACCUUUAUUCUUUUCUGCCAUGAAAGGAUGUACCCCACUUGUGGUUGAUCUAGCCUGAAUAGUUUGCAAUGGAACAAUAAUGCCUUGUCUCAGCUGGGUUUUUAGAGAGGAAAACCAGUUCACAUCAGUUUUUCUUCUAUAAUCAGUUAUCCUUCAGCCUUACCUUUGAUCACCAUAAGCAGAGAGAGGUUUAUGUAGAACAGCAUCUGUCUAACCUAGCGAGGGACCUUCCAGUGGCUUGGGAAACAGAAGAUGAAUUGGGUGAAAACCCCCCACAACUGUGGGAAACCACAGACGAGGACAGAUCUGUUGUUAUAAACAAAGUUUUUACAACAGAAUGACUUUCAACAGUAGAUGGGCGCUUUUGACUUUCUUCCCAGAAAAUGACAGGGGAUCCAUUGAUGCUAUUGCCAAUCACUAUAUGCUAAAGAACAGGGAUUUGGUUCUGAUAGUGUCACUGGAUGGAUCCACUCUUUCUUACAAGAAACUUGCCAAGAACAAAGUUUUCAUUUUUCUUGAGAUAGUCUCUGAAGACAACACAGGACAUUGGCUAAGGGAGGAAACUUUUCUGUGUGUUCGGUUGAAGCCAGAUGUUACAGCAUUGUCUGGAUGUAAUAGACUUGCCAAAUAGCAGGAGUGACAUUUUAGCUCCAUUUAAGUCAGUGGCAAAAUUCCUGUUGAGUUCAACUGGGGCCAAGAUUUCAUCCUACGGCUGUUGAUGGGAAACCUAACAAGCAAUCUUCAGAAAAAUAAGCACAGGCAUUCUGUUUUUCUAGGGCUUUUCAACCCAUAGGCCAUGAGCCCUUGGAAUCCUGUGCACUGCUUUGAAGGGGUCUGUAAAAGAUCACAAAGACAAGGAAGCUUAUUGCCAGGAGAUUGGAAUUAGCUAUACAAGGGUCUGUGAUUCCAAGGGAAAACUUCAGGAGUCAGCUUGAUCUAUUGGAAUCCAUCUAUUUUUCUACUCCUUGGACUAAUAGGACCUGUGCAGCUGAACUAACCCUUUGAUAUUGUGGAUUCAAGCAGCCGCUCUGUCUCCUACACUAGGACUGAACCAUGUGGAGACCUCCCAUAUGGCACCCAUCGGGUGCUCUUACCAGUGGAUUGGGCUGAAAACAAAACCUUUGUUUUGGAGAAGCUGGGACUACACAACAAAUCCAGUGUUUUAGCAAGGUCAGUGCUUUGUCCCUGAGAUAAAUGAGCAAGUACACAGUGUUCUCCCUACAGACCGCAAGGUGUCUGAAGUAUCUCAGAUGAACUUUAUUGGGAACUAAAGGCAAUCAGCUUCAGGCAGAGUCAUGCAACACAUUCUGUCUGUGCUAUCUCCAGAGGUUUAAGCUCUGUGGUCAGGCAUCCAACCUGAUGUGCUUUAAAGGCUCUGGAUUAAGUAACGGCAGUACUACUUGGAUGGAAGUUCAUAAUGCUUAGAUAAAAUAAAAAAAAAGAAAAAGGCUUGAGCUAGAGGAAAAAAAUCACUAAAUAUUUAAAAUAGCAUAAUUUAAAAAUGGUAAAAAGGUUCUGUUUAGGGUUUUAAAACUUUUUCCAUGUGGGUUUUGGUAAGCGGAGUUGUUCUGUAAGUUCUUUCCUGUUAAGAUUUCAGAAGAAUUUGGUUUUUUUAGAGUGCCUGAAAAAAAUGCAGGAGAAGUACUGAGGAACCUUCAUGUAUUAUGUAUUUGUUGUUAGCAUGGAGGGUCCUUGUGCUUGCAGGACCAAACAGAGGCUUUGUGAUGAGAACAAGACCCCAUAACUGGGCAUAACAAAUGUACACAGGCUGACUUCUCUGUGUCUCUUACCAGAAGAUAAAAUGAGGUUCAUAUCUGGAGACAUGGGUCCAGGAAAAGCCAAAAAGGAGUGAGUGCUAAAGUCCAGCAUCUACCACAGGGUAUCCAAGCCGUGUUUCUCUCCUCUUCAUAGGAGGAGUGCCCACUUAGGAGCCUGCUUUGAUUGCUCUACCAGAAGCAGGAUAACACUUAAGGAGUACUACUUUAUGGCAACAUAUUCCUGAGUUCCUUUUGAAGUUCUACCAAAGCACGUGGAGAAUUUAGAACUUUGAAAGGUAUUCAGUCCUUGAGUUUCAAACCAGCAAGCAAUGCAAGCUCCUCAACAGCUCCCUUCAAAUCCCUUUUUGGAGCCAGGGUCUUCAGUUUAAGGGAAAGGCUCAGGUUUGCCUGAGAACUAAAUUGGACAUAUUAACACAUAUUAUGUGGGAAAGCAUUCCCAAGGCAUAAAGUAACAGUGGAUUCAUGGCUAUCCAGGAAAGUCUAGAAGUGCCACCUUGGGAUGACAUGGAUCAGAGAUACAGUUACUUUCCUUUUCCAUGUGAAGAACUCCCCUUCUUCCCAGCUGAGCUAUCAUGUAAUGUAGAUGACUCUCUGGAGGAAGUGUUUGCUGCACAUUUGCAGUAUGUUUUAGCUACUGUCAACAUUUAUAUUCCAUUGUCAUUUGGGGGUAAGCUCUAAUUAGCAUAAUUAUCAAUGCUUUAAAAUUAAAAAAUUCUCCAAGAGACAUGGGAGGGAUUAAAACUGUUUCCUGCUCCCAGAGGCAAAUCCUUUCCCAAGCUAUCUGCUGCACCAAAAGGUUUUAUUCUAGAAACAGUCCCAAGCUAUGCCCAAGAGCAAAUUAAACCACAGCAAACUUGUAAACUCUCCUCUGAGUGAGUGUGUGUGUGCGUGUGUGUAUGUAGCAAGCAGGCCCUGAGUUGACAAUUACUACGUGACAAAAUGUUGUCACUAUUUUCCACUCCUAUUUUGUUUUGACUGCUGCUCUGUGCUGCUGUGGCACCUUUACAGCGUGGGCUGGAACAAUCACAAGUGUUUGUGGAGUCUGAAGUUUUUACAUUUCAUAGGAAAGACUCUGGUGUCUUCACGAUAUGGAGAGCAAAGGUUUUAAUGACAGUGUCCCCUCCUAGAGCUUGCCUCAAGCUCCCCAAGUCAGGAGCUGGCCUCAAAAAAAAAUCUCAGGAGCCAUUCUUUUCUACACUCUUUUAGAGUGGAUUUUUACUCUGGCUCUAAAGUGGUUCGUUGACAACAAGAACCUCAGGUUUCUGGCUUAAUGAGACUCCUCUUUAUGGAGAAUAAAUGCCAGGAAAACCUUAGGGAAACUCUGAAAGGUAACAUCCCUACCUUGGAAAUGUUCCCCAAGAGUCAAUCUUUGAAUGUCUCCGUUCCUGCCUUUGGAGGGGUGAGAGUGGGGCUCAGCUCCCAUUGAUAGCUGGUGCGGUGAAGGAUGGGUGUCCUGCAUGUGGGUUCCUGGUGUCUCAGAGAAAGCUUCUCACAUCCUCAGCAGUGGAUGGGCCAUGAAACCUCAGGGAGCAGGACUAGUUAAUUGUUGUAACUGUUCCUGAAAUGGCCAGAGAGAAAAAUUAGUAUUUUACCAAAGGAAAUACUUCUUUGAGAGAGAAACACUAACAAACGCAGGUGUUUCUUAAAGGAAAACAAUUGUGUUUAGAAAUUUACAAUUCUUGGUAUUUCUGCAUGAGACAAACACCACCACACCCUACACUGAAUAAACAUGGGGAGUCUGCAAGAGAGAGUGGCAGAGAAAUCUCCGUGAAAAUUUCAGAAUCUGCAGGGCAUUGAACAUACGUAUUGUCUUUUUAGUAUCUUUUUUUUUUUUUUCAGAGAGAUGGACUUAAAUUUCAUUGGCAGAAAUUCUCUCUUUUAUCUUUAUCUCCUGUUUUGAUGUGGUAGCCAUGGAGAAAAGCCCAAGAUUAGUAACAGUAGGUUGUUGCAGAAUAAGAAUAACUCUUUACUCGGUUUUAAACUGUAGUAAUAUUGGGGGCUUUGUUUAACUGGAAGAUACUCAGAUCACAUAGAAUAAAUACUAAAUGCUGUUAGGACAUUUAUCACCCAUCCCAUUGAGUUCUGUCCACCUCGAACUAAAUGCUGGUAAUCUUUAACGUCCAUCUGUUCCGAGGGGUUUAGGUGGCUUUCACAGGGCAGAGGGUGGCUGUGUCCACUGCUUUUGGAAAGUUAUUAGUUAAUUCUCCUGAAGGUCAAUGUGUUUAUAUUUUUGCCCUGUUCCACGCAUCAGGGCACCCAGACCCUUGGAACUUGGCCCCGUUUGGCUAAUAAUGAAUGAAAUGGGCCAUAUUCUGAAGCUCAGAUGCCUUGAGUGCCACAAGAAAGCCAAAUUCAAAACCACUACUUUAACAGCAGCGUCUAGCAAUGAAUUUCCAGAUUCCCUCAGGAAGCCCAUCACGAGGAACUUUAGGGAAAGGAAGGAGGUGGUGAACCUUCUCUCAAAGAACCUAGGAAGAGACUGGAUGUCUUUGGUGGUGACAUGAGCUAAAAAGCGGGAUGAUGGUAGGAACAGACACCACACCUUGCUCUGGUUUGGUAUUGGCAAAGCAGGUUAUGGGUAGGAUUAGCGAAUGCUUGACCAUAUAGUUUUAGUUUCCCAAAUAUCGCUGGUAUCUGUGCUGUAUAUGACUUGAGUUGUCUCCCCUCAGCAUCUCAGUACAUCUGAUGCACUUGCAACUUUUCUCUGGAAAUCUAUUUUGCAUCUUGU